rnacentral:rRNA from 1 species
AACGAACGCUGGCGGCAGGCCUAACACAUGCAAGUCGAACGCUCUCUUCGGAGGGAGUGGCAGACGGGUGAGUAACGCGUGGGAAUCUACCCAGCUCUACGGAAUAACGCAUGGAAACGUGUGCUAAUACCGUAUACGCCCCAUGGGGGAAAGGAUUUAUCGGAGUUGGAUGAGCCCGCGUCUGAUUAGCUAGUUGGUGAGGUAAUGGCUCACCAAGGCGACGAUCAGUAGCUGGUCUGAGAGGAUGACCAGCCAUACUGGGACUGAGACACGGCCCAGACUCCUACGGGAGGCAGCAGUGGGGAAUAUUGGACAAUGGGCGCAAGCCUGAUCCAGCAAUGCCGCGUGCAGGACGAAGGCCUCGGUUGUAAACUGCUUUGUACAGAACGAAAGGACUCUGGUUAAUACCUAGGGGCUCAUGACGGUACUGUAAGAAUAAGCACCGGCGUAACUACGUAGCCAGCAGCCGCGGUAAUAGUC